AUUGAACGCUGGCGGCAGGCCUAACACAUGCAAGUCGAACGGCAGCGGGGGAUAGCUUGCUAUCCUGCCGGCGAGUGGCGGACGGGUGAGUAAUGCAUGGGGAGCUGCCCAGUCGAGGGGGAUAACAACUGGAAACGGUUGCUAAUACCGCAUACGCCCUAAGGGGGAAAGGUGGGGAACUUCGGUCCUACCGCGAUUGGAUGCGCCCAUGUGGGAUUAGCUAGUUGGUGAGGUAACGGCUCACCAAGGCGACGAUCUCUAGCUGGUCUGAGAGGAUGACCAGCCACACUGGAACUGAGACACGGUCCAGACUCCUACGGGAGGCAGCGGCGGGGAAUAUUGCACAAUGGGGGAAACCCUGAUGCAGCCAUGCCGCGUGUGUGAAGAAGGCCUUCGGGUUGUAAAGCACUUUCAGUCAGGAGGAAGGUGGUAAGGCUAAUAUCCUUAUCAAUUGACGUUACUGACAGAAGAAGCACCGGCUAACUCCGUGCCAGCCGCCGCAGUAA
rnacentral:rRNA from 1 species